rnacentral:rRNA from 1 species
UACGUAGGGUCCGAGCGUUGUCCGGAGUUACUGGGCGUAAAGCGCGCGCAGGUGGUCCAUUAAGUCCGGUGUGAAAGCCCCCCGCUCAACGGGGAAGGUCGCUGGAAACUGCGCUUCUUGAGGCGGCAGAGGGAAGUGGAAUUGCUGGUGUAGCGGUGAAAUGCGUAGAGAUCAGCAGGAACACCCGUGGCGGAAGGCGGCUUCCUGGGCCGCGCCUGACGCUGAGACGCGAAAGCGUGGGGAGCGAACGGG